AAAAACUCAUGGUGUCCGCUGGCAGAAACAGGAAGUGGAGUGGGGGAUAUGCCAGCCAUGGCCUGAAACCAGUGUCCAAGAGGCAGUGGAGGAUGCUGGAUAGAGCAUGAGGUUCGACAUCAGGAGACCAGGAUGGAACCUCUCCCGUACUGUCACCUACUGAGUCAGCUUGAAUAAAUGACGAACCUCUCUGCGUCUCAGUUAUGUAUCUGGAGAAAAUAGGAUGAAGAAAAGCAGAUCACUCUAAGAAUGACAGGUUUCCC
rnacentral:lncRNA from 1 species